AGGGGCUCGGCCUAAAUUGUUGAAGAAUAUCUUUCAUAUGGCCGGAAACAAAUCGGGAUUUAGAAUACUAAUUUCUGGAAACCCAAGAUCUGGCCAAAGGCAUCUUGCUUCCUCUCUUCUUCAUUGUUUUGUUGGUAAUGUUGAUGUCCAGAAGGUGGAUUUGGCUACUAUUUCUCAAGAAGGACAUGGAGACAUCAUUCAGGGGUUGACGCAGAUACUGAUGAGAUGUGCUAGUGUGGAUAAGUGCAUGAUAUUUAUGCCAAGAGUUGAUUUAUGGGCCAUGGAGACAUCUGACCUAGUCUGUCAAGAUGAUGGUUCCUCUUUAGUAAACCCUGAAUCAUUAGGCAAGGACAAGGAAAGGAGCUUUAACCAUAGUGCUGAGCAGGCUGGAGAUGCUCUCAAAAGAGCCUCCUAUCUGUGGAGCUCCUUUGUUGAGCAAGUGGAAAGUAUAUGCAUGGCCACAUCCUUG
rnacentral:misc_RNA from 1 species